rnacentral:lncRNA from 1 species
CGACGAGCCAGGCAGGAGCCGCCGCUGCCGCCGCCGCCGGAAGAAGUGUGCUGCUCCCAAGCUCCGUCUGCCGCGGGGCGCGCCCCAAUGUCAGCCGCGGGGACGAGCGCAGGCCGCGGGCCGCCACUGCCCUAGCCGCGCCGACGGGGAGGCGGCCUCUUAUAUGGAAUUUGGACCCCGGCGCUCCCCUCCAAGGCUGGAGUCCCGGCCGCGGCCCUGGCGCAGUCCGCCGCCUCCCGCUAGGCGCUCGGGAGGAGGAGGAGACGCA